AGGAUUGGGGUUCUCUAUUUGUCUUUCUCUUCCAGCGUCCUUCUUCCUUCUUCCUUCUUCCUCCUUGGUUCAUAGUUUAUAUUCUAGCGUGUCAGAUCCAUGGCUGCCUGAACAUCGCUCCGCUAUCACUUGAUUCACUUCUCCGCUGCAAUUCUCUCCAUCCUUAGUUUCUCUUCUCUUUGAAUUUACAGAAAUCUAAUCGAAGAAGCCCCAAAAUCCCAAAUCAGAAUUCCCAAACCCUAAAAUUUUCGAUCUCUCUUAGUCAUCGUCGGAGCCAGAAGCCGACUAAUUCGAACUCCAAUUCCAGUAAUGUCCAAUCUGUUGGGGUUUUGUUCCCUCCCUGACUCAUUACUUCACCAAUAUUCCCUUCUGGUUUUGGUGCUGGCCCCAAUGGAGCUUCUGCUGCCCAGUUUGUUAGAGCAGAAAUGCUUCCUAGUGGUUAUCUGAUUCGACCGUGUGAGGGUGGAGGAUCAAUCAUUCAUAUUGUUGACCACCUGAACCUUGAGGCUUGGAGUGUGCCGGAAGUGCUGCGACCGCUUUAUGAAUCGUCCAAAGUGGUAGCACAAAAAAGGACUAUUGCGGUGAGUAGAUUAUGCUGGCUUCUGUGUUGGACUCGUAUCCACUGAGACACACACUGUACUCCUUUGUUUGUGUAAAGAAAUUUAUGUCUCUUAUAAUAAGAAGUAGGAUUGGUUGGAUUCUGAUAUGUCUGUUACCUUUUUUUCCAUGUGAGUUUGAGUGACAUUCAUUCAGUCCCUGCAUCCUGCAAUCAAAGCUUGUAUGCUACCUGGAAACAAAUGUCUUUUUUGUAGCAAAUAGUGGAUCUUUGCUGAACCGCAUAAUUUAUUAGCCCCAACUCAUGUAACCUAAGUUCUUUACAUUCUGUUUUUCAGUAUAAAAGGUUCAUUUUUUGAAACUGUUUAGCCAACUUUCUUGAUGAGGUCAUAUUACUUUAAAUUUUGAUAUUGUGGUAAAUAUAAUUUUGUAACAAUACUGCUUGCUGGUGAUUUGUUCCAUUUAUCUCAAUAGUGCUGCAGUGCCACGAUCCCAGCUAAGCUUUGCAAGAGGGAAAGUACCAAGCAAUUCCACAAUUCCAAGAUCAAGUUUCCAUUGAACUCUGAUGAAGCAUUUAUGUUAGAUUAUGUUUUAAUCCUCAUUUUAGGUAUGCAUUGGAUUAGAAACAGAACAACAUUGCAGGUUAAAAUGUGUUUAAGCCACCAACUUGUCCUUAAUGUUAACUUAUAGUGAUGAAAAUUUUAUAAUUAGGUUGUGAGGGAUGGAGAUUUUCUAUUUUCUAAAGUGUGAAUUGUUGAAAUUCUGUUUCAUAUUGGAUUGUCUAUCUCUGCAACUUUCUUUUGUUUGGUAUUGCUUGCUUUUGUGAAAUUUCAUGUGACUAUAUUAUCAGAACAAGUUCAGUCUGGCAAGGCUUCUGAUAAGCUGCUGUUUACGUACUUCCCUUUCCUGGUGUUUUGGCCAUACUACAUGGGCUGUUGACAACUUCCAGGACGAGUAGUUCAAUGAUUGGCAAGAGACCUAUGCUGGGCAGCAAAAAGAAGGCUUGAGAUACACAACUCACUGACUCAGACUUUAUAAUUCUAUUGUCAUUUUGGGAGUUUUGUAUUUGUCAUUUUUUCUGAUUGAAAUGCUCAUUGUGUUUGUGACCUCAAUCUUUUGAUGAAACUAAUCUUAUUAAUGAAUGACAGAUUUAUUCCCAAGGAUUUGUUGGUAGUUCCUAAGCCGAUGACAUUAUAAUAAUAUAGUUGGAAGAACAACACACAUCCAGAUAUGUACUUUGCUUUAUUCUGCUUGAACAACCGCACACUUUCUAAUAGAAAUUCAAAUGAGAAACUUGCCCAGUUCAUACUUCUUAUAUUCUUCAGAUUCUUCAAUGCAAGAAGAUACUUCAGACUUCAAGCAUCUGCACAAAUAGCAAACAGCACUCUCUGAGUCAAAUUGCAGUGGAGCAAAAUUGUUCUCAAGUUUUCAGUCAGGGAAGAAAGGAACUCCGUAAUGUAUACCUUCAGUUAAUAAUUAUAGGGUUACAGCAUCUUCUCUUUCGCCUCCUUGCCUGCACUCCUCAAAAUCCGCUCUGUCUCUAGGUUGAAUUGUGCCUUUACCUGGAUACGAAGCCUUGCGCAACCGAGAUAGUUUCUGGUCUUUAGGAAUUAGGGUUUAUGUCGUGGACUAUAAGUUGUGGGUUAUAACUUACGAACGAAAUUGAUUUAUCUAUAACUAUUUUUUUCCCUUUUCCAUUAACAUAAAGGAUUUUCAUUUAAAUAUAUGGAAAAUAUUAAUGCUUUCUGAAAUAUAAAAGACCCUAAACCCUAAACCCUAAACCCUAAACCCUAAACCCUAAAAUUUUCAUUUAUUUAGAAAUUAACUACAAUUGAAUUCCUAAUCCGUAUUAAAUGUUGUUUAACAAAUUUCAAAACAACAAGAUACAUUCAUUAGUACUCUAAGACCCUAAACCCUAAACCCUAAACCCCAAACCCUAAACCCUAAACUCCAAACUUUAACCCCUAAAUAGUAACCCUAACCCUAUUCCCUAAAUGAAAUAUAUGAUUCUUGAUAAUCUAUGCUCCUCCUCGACAAGAUAUUUCUUUCUCAACAAGAUACCUCAUCCUUCACAGGAUAUCUGCUCAUCGACUACAUUACUACAUAUGUCUCACCUUAACAAGAUAUCUGCUUCUCCUCGACAACAUAUCUUCUCCUUAACAAGAUAUCUGCUCCUCCUCGACAACAUAUCUCAUCUUAACAAGAUAUAUAUAUGCUCCUCCUCGACAACAUAUCUCUCCUUAACAAGAUAUAUGCUCCUCCUCGACAACAUAUCUCUCCUUAACAAGAUAUAUGCUCCUCCUCGACAACAUAUCUCUCCUUAACAAGAUAUAUAUAUGCUCCUCCUCGACAACAUAUCUCUCCUUAACAAGAUAUAUAUAUGCUCCUCCUCGACAACAUAUCUCUCCUUAACAAGAUAUAUGCUCCUCCUCGACAACAUAUCUUCUCCUUAACAAGAUAUCUGCUCCUCCUCGACAACAUAUCUCACCUUAACAAGAUAUAUGCUCCUCUAUAAAAUAGUUCGCUUAUACAUUGCAUUCUACUACAAAAUUUAUCUAAAAGUCGUUUAUGUUUACACUUUGACCACCUUUGUCACCUGAAUAAGGAUUCUUCAAUCAUAUUUUUGCUAAUUCCACGCUAGUACAUCAAAUAUAAGCGAAGUGAAGUGCGAUCCGUGUACUCCUUAUUUCAGCCGUCAGAUAACGACUUCUGUUCUCUUUUUUUCACGCGGAUCGAGCUUACUAACCGUCGAUUUAAUCCAAUUGAGUUUUCAAUACAAUUCAGUUUUGUUUUUUGUUUUUUUUUUGAUGCAUGAGUUAGAUUGCUCUUCUUCGUGCAGCGCCUCUUCUCUGUUUUCUCCUUUAACUCUCUCUCUCUCUCUCUCUCUCUCUCGGUGCUCUUGGGACGACGUCGUUCAUCCAUCGCCGCCUCCACCUUUGCUACUGUCGGUGACCACUUCAAGUUGGGUCUUCGCAUCUGCAAUCAAAGCCGAGUAUUGGGGACAUGCCGGAGAGCUUCGCGGCGGAGAUUAUAGCAAAGGUAUGAAGAAAGACUCGCAUGGUUAUCAGUCCAUGCUUUGAUGUUGGUGUCAAGGAGAUUGAAGGCUGACUGCUACUCUUCUUCCAUCAAGACAUGUUUGCCCUUGUUAACUCACCAAUGUAUUAGUUGUUAGGUCACCAAGUGUUGUAUAUGUUAAAUACUACUUGCCCAGUUGAUACGUUUUCAAUUG